UGGUGGGUGUAUGGAUGUUCAUCUACUUGCCCAGAGAAGGGUUGCUCCUGAAUCAUGGCUAUUAGAUCAGGGCUGAGGUCGUAGCCAUCUGUAAGAAUUGGAUGUGAUGAUUGUGGUGGCUCUAAUAACUCGCCCUUUGGAGCAAAGAAUUUAUAGAUAGGAGUGAAAUCCAUGUGUUAUGGUGAAAAUGGUAAGGUGUG
rnacentral:lncRNA from 1 species